rnacentral:rRNA from 1 species
GCGAGCGGCGGAUGGGUGAGUAACACGUGGGGAACCUGCCCCAUAGUCUGGGAUACCACUUGGAAACAGGUGCUAAUACCGGAUAAGAAAGCAGAUCGCAUGAUCAGCUUUUAAAAGGCGGCGUAAGCUGUCGCUAUGGGAUGGCCCCGCGGUGCAUUAGCUAGUUGGUAAGGUAAAGGCUUACCAAGGCGAUGAUGCAUAGCCGAGUUGAGAGACUGAUCGGCCACAUUGGGACUGAGACACGGCCCAAACUCCUACGGGAGGCAGCAGUAGGGAAUCUUCCACAAUGGACGCAAGUCUGAUGGAGCAACGCCGCGUGAGUGAAGAAGGUUUUCGGAUCGUAAAGCUCUGUUGUUGGUGAAGAAGGAUAGAGGUAGUAACUGGCCUUUAUUUGACGGUAAUCAACCAGAAAGUCACGGCUAACUACGUGCCAGCAGCCGCGGUAAUACGUAGGUGGCAAGCGUUGUCCGGAUUUAUUGGGCGUAAAGCGAGCGCAGGCGGAAGAAUAAGUCUGAUGUGAAAGCCCUCGGCUUAACCGAGGAACUGCAUCGGAAACUGUUUUUCUUGAGUGCAGAAGAGGAGAGUGGAACUCCAUGUGUAGCGGUGGAAUGCGUAGAUAUAUGGAAGAACACCAGUGGCGAAGGCGGCUCUCUGGUCUGCAACUGACGCUGAGGCUCGAAAGCAUGGGUAGCGAACAGGAUUAGAUACCC